rnacentral:rRNA from 1 species
GUCGAGAGGUGUAAGACCUCGGCAUACUGCUCAGUAACACGUGGUACAACCUACCCUGAAGAGGGGGAUAACCCCGGGAAACUGGGGAUAAUACCCCAUAGGCUAUGGAUGCUGGAAUGCUCUGUAGUUGAAAGGUCCGCCGCUUCAGGAUGGGUCUGCGGCCGAUUAGGUUGUUGUUGGGGUAACGGCCCAACAAGCCUGUAAUCGGUACGGGUUGUGGGAGCAAGAGCCCGGAGAUGGAUUCUGAGACACGAAUCCAGGCCCUACGGGGCGCAGCAGGCGCGAAAACUUUGCAAUGCGAGAAAUCGUGACAAGGGAACUCCGAGUGCCUGUAAAAUCAGGCUGUCCGUCAGUGUAAAUAACUGGCGAAGAAAGGGCCGGGCAAGACCGGUGCCAGCCGCCGCGGUAAUACCGGCGGCUCGAGUGGUGGCCACUAUUACUGGGCUUAAAGCGUUCGUAGCUGGCUUGUUAAGUCUCUGGGGAAAUCUUCCGGCUUAACCGGAAGGCGUCUCAGGGAUACUGGCAGGCUAGGGACCGGAAGAGGUGAGAGGUACUCCAGGGGUAGGAGUGAAAUCCUGUAAUCCUUGGGGGACCACCUGUGGCGAAGGCGUCUCACCAGGACGGCUCCGACAGUGAGGAACGAAAGCUGGGGGAGCAAACCGGAUUAGAUACCCGGGUAGUCCCAGCUGUAAACGAUGCGCGUUAGGUGUAUCGGUGACCACGAGUCACCGAGGUGCCGAAGAGAAAUCGUGAAACGCGCCGCCUGGGAAGUACGGUCGCAAGGCUGAAACUUAAAGGAAUUGGCGGGGGAGCACCACAACGGGUGGAGCCUGCGGUUUAAUCGGACUCAACGCCGGGAAACUCACCGGACAAGACAGCUGAAUGAUAGUCGGGCUGAAGACUCUACUUGACUAGCUGA